GGACUACACGGGUAUCUAAUCCUGUUUGAUCCCCUUGCUUUCGCGCCUCAGCGUCAGGUAUAAGCUAGAAAAUCGCCUUCGCCACCGGUAUUCUUCCACAUAUCUACGCAUUUCACCGCUACUUGUGGAAUUCUAUUUCCUCCGCCUAUCCUCUAGAUCGGUAGUUUCAAAUGCUAUUCCGAAGUUGAGCUCCGGGAUUUCACAUCUGACUUACCAACCCGCCUACGCGCCCUUUACGCCCAAUAAAUCCGAUUAAUGCUUGCACCCUCCGUAUUACCGCGGCUGCUGGCAC
rnacentral:rRNA from 1 species